AUACAGGGGGUGCGAGCGUUAAUCGGGAUUACUGGGCGUAAAGAGUACGUAGGCGGUUGCUUAAGUCAGAUGUGAAAGCCCCGGGCUCAACCUGGGAACUGCAUUUGAAACUGAGUGACUAGAGUUUAAGAGAGGGGAGUAGAAUUCCGGGUGUAGCGGUGAAAUGCGUAGAGAUCCGGAGGAAUACCAGUGGCGAAGGCGGCUCCCUGGCUUAAAACUGACGCUGAGGUACGAAAGCGUGGGUAGCAAACAGGAUUAGAAACCCGAGUAGUCC
rnacentral:rRNA from 1 species